rnacentral:lncRNA from 1 species
AAUUAAAUCAAAUAAAAUACGCUUGAAGUAAAUAUAUGAAAAGGGUAAUUCGGCUCAAAUAAAUCCACUCUAAUUCAACUCUGAUCCUUGACGCAAUAAUUAAUCAAUCCCUAUCAACCAACCAGUUAUAGGAUACCGUGAAACGCAACGGACGUACCCCAAUUCCUACUUACUGUGUCGAUAAACAGCUGGAGACGCCAGACCUGCUUAUUUCUCUUAUUAAAAUAUAACCUAGCUGGAGACGCCAGACCUAGAUUUAAUAUUCUAAUAGCAUUACGAUGAAGGAAUCCAAUUUAUAUCAAUUAUCCUAGAGACGCUAGUAAUAAUUAAUAUACCAAUUAAUUCCUACUACGAACAUGGUAGUUGUAUCACUAAUUAGUCCAAUUCCAACAAUUACGGAUUGGCAGGAACUAAUUGACUGUAAUCCAAUUAAACUUAAGUUGAUCAGGCUUAAAUAAAAUCAGAAUUAUCUUGGAACCUAGGAAUUAAUCGGAAUCAAUAGGAAUCAAUUUUAAACCAAUUAGGUCUCACAGAUCAUUAAAUUAGAGUUUCAUUAUUCUCACCGAAUUAAAGAUUUAGCUACUCAUGCUUAAAAUAAAAACAAUCAAAUAAAUGAAAAUAAACAUAAUUAAAAUAAACGAACAAGACUAAUAAAUAAAUUGCAGGAAAUUAAAUUAAACUUGAACCAAUUGGAAGAACUCGUCUGCUCCUUCGAACCCAAUCCAGCCGCAAAUUGAACAAAUAAAAGACAAGAAUUAAGCUAAUGAAAACUAUGGAAUUUGAUGACUAAUUCGCAUGGAAUAAAGGAAAUUGCAUGAAAGAAAGGUUUUGCAUGGAAUUAAGAAAACAAAAGUCAACUGCUAUAUCUCUAAUCAAAGUUUGCGGCUGAGUGUAUGUAAAAGUGAAUGUGUAUGAAAUUAAACCUAAACUAAUAUAUAUGUGGCCAUGCAUGCGGCCUUAACAAAACUAAGGGAAUUAAAUCCCUUCUAAAGUGCCGCCUAAUCAUCCCCAAUGGGCUUCGGCCCUUUUUACCUAAUUAAUACCCAAAAUAAAAUAAAACUAAGAGUUUUGAGCUUCAUAAAAAUAUAACAAGUAAUUAAAAGCCCAAUCUCUACUUUCUUCCAUCUUCACGUCGAAUCCCAUCGCAAACUCGUCUUUCUCCACUUUCUUCCAAUUAGCAGCUCCAUCUCCAAUUCUUCUCAUUCCUGCGCCAAAACAUAGCAAAACAUGUAAUAUCACAUGAAACCACGGCGAAACGCACACUAAACUAGGUAGCUAAAAUACACACAUCAAGCAGUCUCUACUAUUCUUUGUUUUGAGAGAUUUGAUUAUCCAUGAAGUCGUGAUAUUAAGUGUGUCAUAUGUGGUGAAUGAUAAGAGGCACUAGGGUAGCCAUUUGGCCUGCUUUUGAAUUCCUACCCAUACACUAACCCCUAGUGAGCCAUGUUUGAGCCUUGCCGUGAUUGUUCAUAUUAGUCACUAUAUAUAUAUAGCCAAGGCCUGUUUUUUGUGAACCUUCUCUUUGGUCCCAUUGUGCAUGUUAGAAUUGAAUUACAUCCUAAUUGAAUUUUUUGAGGAAUGUGCAUAAGGAUGCUUGUUUGCCCAAACAGAACCUGAGCCGAAAUUACAUUCUGAAUCUAGGACAGAUGGUCUGUUUGGCCAAACAGAGGAUGAUGUUGACAGUUGGGCAGAUUGUUUUUGAUGUACUCUUUGCAUGAUUGUGUUGUUUUAAUGAAGUGGUGCAAGAAAAAAAAAAAAAAAAAAAAAAGAAAAAAAAAGAAAAAAAAAAGAAGAAAAAAAAAGAAAAAAAGAAAAAAGAGAAAAAAAAAGAAGAGAAAAUAAAGGUUGCACCAAGGUUGAAUUAGUAUACAUGCAUUGAGUUGUUUGAUGGUUGUUGCCCAUAGUUGAGUUGGAAGUUGCUCUUCAUAUGUUUAGAAUUCUUUGGGUGUGAUUUGAUUCGAGCAUGCACGAUAUUUGAUCUUCAAUGUUUGAGCUUAGGACCCCUAGGAUCUUGCCUACAUCAUUGAUAGUCCUUAGCCCCAUUACAACCAAAGAAGAAAGACCUUUUUGAGCCAUAAUGUGACUGCGAAAUAUCAUGACUAAUUGGAGUUUCUUCUUGUGUGAGAAUUACCUUAUCUUAUGGAGAGAUUGAAUGAGCGUGAGAGUUGCACUCAUUGUUGCCUAAUUUGGACUAGAUUGAUGAUGAAAACACAUUUUGGAGGUUCAUGUUUUUAGUUCGAGAGUUGGGAAGUGAUGGUGAAUUGCAUGAUUCGAUUUGAUAGACUGUUGCAUUCCUGAUGCUUUGAUGUUGCUUGGCUAGUCGUUUGGUUUGUUCGUGUCUUGUCUCGUUUUCCUUUCUACUUUCCUGUUCUUUGCGUGUGUUGUUGUGUUUGUUUUCCGUUCGUUCGUUUCUAGAGUCUUCGUGUCUAGGAAGGGAGUUGCUUCUAGGGGCUGAAUUUCACCAUUAAUUCUUCUCUUAUUUCAUACUUGAGGACAAGUAUGAUCUAAGUGUGAGGGGAUUUGAUGUGUGUAUUUUAGCUACCUAGUUUAGUGUGCGUUUCGCCGUGGUUUUAUAUGAUUUUACAUGGUUUGUGACAUUUUGGCGCAGGAUUUAGAUGAAUUGGAGAUGGAUGUUAGUAGAUGUCGAGAGAUGGUGAAAGCCGAGUUACCUUUUAUUGAUUAAUUUCUCGAGUUAUUUAAUUUGAUUUAAUUUGCAUUCUUAGUUUUAAUUAAUUCUUCUCAAAAUUAAGGCGUGGUGGCAUCACAAAAAAUUAUAGAUUUUAGGGAAUUGAAUGAUUUUACCUGGUCUCUGUGGGAUCGACCCUGCUUAUCAUCAUACUAAUUUAUUUUGAUAAUUCUGCAGGAAUUAUUUGGUGGUAUACGACGUCCACCAGCUGGCCCGUUGGGCCGCGCUGACGUACGUGCCGCCGAGCUGCUCUGCUCUGGUCCUCCAGAGCUGAUCUGCUCUGGUCUUCCAGAGCCUCUCUUCUCUGGUCAUCCGAGCUACUCUUCUCUGGUUUCCAGAUCUGCUCUGCUCUGGUCCUACAGAGCUGCUCUGCUCUGGCAUUCUACUUUACUCUGCUCGGGCAUGUUUACUCUGCUGUGAAGUCCGCUCUGCUCUGAACCGUUUGCUCUGCUCUGGCAAUCUCUCUGCUCUACUCUGCCAUUCACUUCUGCUCUGAUCUUAUACGAAUUUUACCCAUUACAACUUGUCCCCCACUCCCUAGUUGGAAUUUUUUCAACUAAGGAGUGCAAUUUAAUAGACGUCUCUUACGUUUCUUCAUCUCAUUUUUUUCUCUAUUUCAGUUUUGUAGUGUAACCUCCAGGAGCUCAUGCUGCCUACGGAGCUUAUACUCUCUUAUCUUCCGCGGAUGGGGGAUUAAAAAGUUAUAUGCGGUGCUUACGGUUCUUCUGUGGCUAGGUAGAGUAGGAGUUCUCGGGUCCUACGGGACUGACAUAUCUUCCAGAGUGGAGAAGGGUGGAAGUUGUUUAGGUCUUACGGGACUGACGGCUCUUCUAGAGUAAAAUAAAGUUGAAGUUUGUUGAGUCUUACGGGACUGACGGCUCUUCCGUAGUGAAGUAGAGUGGAAGUUGUCGGGUCCUACGGGAUCGACGGCUCUUCCAUAGUGAAGCAGAGUGGAAGUUGUCGGGUCCUAUGGAACCGACGGCUCUUCCAUAGUGAUGCAGAGUGGAAGUUGUCGGGUCCUAUGGGACCGACGGCUCUUCCAUAGUGAAGCAGAGUGGGAGUCGUCGGGUUCUACGGGACCGACGGCUCUUCCAUAGUGAAGCAGAGUGGAAGUUGUCAGGUUCUAAGGGACCGACGACUCUUCCAUAGUGAAGCAAAGUGGACGUUGUCGGGUCUUUACGGCUCUUAAGCCUUUCUUGUUGUGAUAAGUAAAUUAAAAUUUACAUAUCUGCUACGCCUGAUACGGAACUUACGCGUCAUGUCCCAAGUUUGCAGAGGGUGGUAGGGUGGCUUUUAUGGUGAACCAUUAUGAGAAGUGACGUUUUUUUUUUGUACUUUUGUGGACAUGUGUUUUUUUAUCAUCUAUAGUAUAGCGAAAGUUUGAAGUUCGCACUUUCUUGAGAUCCGCCCUACCUUUAGAUUUUUACUCUCCUAUAUAGUGGGGAGCUUGUCCCCCAUUCUCCCACACCAAACAAAUUAGAGCUUUGGGAGCAUUGGAAUUUUGGAGUCUUUGGAAAAAGGAAGUAGAGAGAAGAUAUUUGAAGAGCUUUAGAGGUUGGUUUUUUUUUUCUCUCUACCUUCUUCGAAUGUUCUUUACAUAUUCUAAGCAUGAAUACUUAUAAUUUUUGUCGUAUUGUGCUUUUGAAUGACUUCGAUUAUUCGUUUGUAGAAAUAGUGUUUGGUCCAUGCGAGCAAUUUUACACGCAUUUUUGAUGUUUGUAGAAUUGUGUAGAAAGUUUUCUAAGUAUAAAUGAUAGCGUAGAGCUUGCUAAUGCGGGUGCUUCGGGUUGAUACGGUUGAACACUUAGUGCGUAGAUGACGUUCCUUUGAAUNGCGCUGCUAACAGAGUUAAGCUGGUGAGCCGAGCGCUGCCGGACAGAGCAGAGCUGGGCAGCCGACGCUGCCAGGCAGGGCUGGGCUGGAUGGUCGAGCGCUGCUAGCAGAGCUAAGCUGGUGAGCCGAGCGCUGCCGGACAGAGCAGAACUGGGCAGCCAAGCGCUGCCGACAGAGCUGAGCUGGUCAGCCGAGCACUGCCGGGCAUAGCAGAGCUGGGCAGCCCAGCACUGUCGGGCAGGGCUGAGCUGGUCAGUCGAGUUUUAUCCAUUACAGUUUGUCCCCCACUCCAUAGUUGGAAUUUUUUCAACUAUGGAGUGCAAUUUAACUUGUAGAGACGUCUCUUACGUUUCUUCAUCUCUUUUUCUCUUCUAUUUCAGUUUUGUAUUGUGGUAUCCAGGAGCUCACGUCUCCUACGGAGCUUAGACCCUUUUAUCUUUCGCGGAUGGGGGGCUAAGAAGUUAUAUGCGGUGCUUACGGUUCUUUUGCGACUAGGUAGAGUGGGGAGUUCUUGGAUCCUACAGGACUGACGGCUCUUCUAAAGUGAAAAAGUGUUGAAGAGUGUUGGGCCUUACGGGACUAACGGCUCUUCUAGGGUGACAUAGAGUGGAAGUUUCUGGGAUCUUUACGGCUCUUCCAUAGUGAAGCAGAGCGGAAGUUGUCGGGUCCUAUGGAACCGACGGCUCUUCCAUAGUGAUGCAGAGUGGAAGUUGUCGGGUCCUAUGGGACCGACGGCUCUUCCAUAGUGAAGCAGAGUGGAGUCGUCGGGUUCUACGGGACCGACGGCUCUUCCAUAGUGAAGCAGAGUGGAAGUUGUCGGGUUCUACAGGACCGACGGCUCUUCCAUAGUGAAGCAGAGUGGACGUUUGUCGGGUCUUUACAGCUCUUAAGCCUUUCUUGUUGUGAUAAGUAAAUUAAAAUUUACAUAUCUGCUACGCCUGAUACAGAACUUAAGCGUCAUGUCCCAAGUUCGCAGAGGGUGGUAGGGUGGCUUUUAUGGUGAACCAUUAUGAGAAGUGUACGUUUUUUUUUUGUACUUUUGUGGACAUGUGUUUUUUAUCAUCUAUAGUGUAGCGAAAGUUUGAAGUCCGCACUUUCUUGAGAUCCGCCUUACCUUCAGAUUUUUACUCUCCUAUAUAGUGGGGAGCUUGUCCCCCAUUCUCCCACACCAAACAAAUUAGAGAUUUGGGAGCAUUGGAAUUUUGGAGUCUUUGGAAAAAGGAAGUAGAGAGAAGAUAUUUGAAGAGCUUUAGAGGUUGGUUUUUUUUUUNCUCUCUACCUUCUUCGAAUGUUCUUUACAUAUUCUAAGCAUGAAUACUUAUAAUUUUUGUCGUAUUGUGCUUUUGAAUGACUUCGAUUAUUCGUUUGUAGAAAUAGUGUUUGAUCCAUGCGAGCAAUUUUACACGCAUUUUUGAUGUUUGUAGAAUUGUGUAGAAAGUUUUUCUAAGUAUAAAUGAUAGCGUAGAGCUUGCUAAUGCGGGUGCUUCGGGUUGAUACGGUUGAACACUUAAUGCGUAGAUGACGUUCCUUUGAAUAUUUAUGCAAUUCCUUCGUAUCUUCGUGGUGUUAUGGGUGUCGUUCCUUUAUAUAAAUUGUUCAAAUAUGCAUGUAGCUAAGUGGGUAGCUUCUGAUCGGGUGAAUCGGUCUGUUGAACUUCAUAUUAUUGAUUUUUUGCAACUAUGUCGUCGAGUGAUCGGGGUAAUAUGUUUAUUUGAACUUUUAGAAUUUAUCCUUUUCUAGGAUAUUCACAUGCUAUGUUGGGUAAUCGUGGAGGUUCGGUUGGUUCAUCGAGUAGGAUUCAGCAUCUGUCUGAUGAUAUAGAUUAUUGUGUUGAUGAACGCGCGGACAUCACAGAUCGAGAGAUAGAAAUUUGGCAAGGCAAUCACGAUAGUUAUGGUGAUGGUGGUGGUUUUAGAGUUCACAGUGAAGGGCUUACCACGGGGGCGGUGCCUAUGAUGGAGUUCCUUACUAAUGGUAAUCCCGAGUCAUUUUUCAAAGAUACGCGGCAACUACACGUCCUUCGGAAGUCCUACAGCAUUCCGAAUCAUAUCGCCCUUCAUGCUCCGGGUAGGCAAAUGCGAGCAAAUUUUCAUGCUCCGGGAUUGGUGUGCUUGUAUCAAGCACCGUUCGAACAGGGAAUGCGGCUUCCUCUACCCCGCUUGGUCAUUGAUUUUUGCCAUUAUCAUUGUCUCUCGCCCGAGCAACUUAUGCCGAAUUCUUGGCGGUUGUUAUUGAGUUUACAGGUGUUCAGUGAGCUACAUAGCUUCGACAUCUCCAUCGCAGAUGUAAAGAACACUAAUGAUCUUCUGAAUGUUCCAAAGGACAAAGGUCGUUACAAGUUAUGUAGGAAGAAAGGUUGUGAGCCUUUGAUUAAGGACAUGGAUGAUGGUGAGAGGGCUUGGAAAAGUAAAUAUUUUUUCGUUGAAUACAAUGCUUUGUGUAUUCCGGAAGGGAAGAGAGUUCCUUCUGUUUGGUCUAAUCCUAGUGAGUGUUAGAAUUGAUGUAGUCUUUCAUGCUUCCCAUUCUCUUAUUUCCACUAUUCUUUCUAACACUUUGAUUAUCUUUGUGUACAGGUUGUUUGAAAACUAUUCCUGUGGUGUUGAAUUUGGUAGAAAGGAACAACCGGUUUCUUCAAUAUCCUCCUCCAUAUCGGAGUUGGAGGGUUAUUCUUCACGAUAUGAACAUUAAGCAGUCGUCGAUUUGGGCUCAAGUCCCUGCUCCUCCGGAAGGUACAUUCAUCCCUAAAACUCUUGCUGAAACUAGUGUCGUGGUAGGUCUCCGUUCUUUGGAGAUUUUGCGGGUGAAACAAGCUUAUAAAAAUUUGACUGAACUGACCCCGGAGCAACGAGUAUAUGCAGACGAUUGGAUGGCUGAAUUGAAAUUCCAUUAUAACCCGAAUGAGGUUGACACCGACGCCUUCGUGGAAAGACAACUGAAGAGGAAGAAGAAGAAGCAUGCAUCGAGCUCGAAUGUGCCAACAGAGCUGCCUAUCGCGACUGACGCUCCGCGAUCUGACGUCCCUUCCGAUCGCUCUUCCCGGAAACGGACUCCCAUGCCUGAGGAUGGCUGCUCAUCCGAUGGUUCCGUUUAUGUGAUUCUGCCCGCUGGCGCCUCGGCUCAUACCGAGUAUAACGCAUUAUCGGGGUAGCUCGAGAAAUUAUUACUCGAGGAGGACCGAGCUGUUUUGAACAACUAUGGGGGAGAUGAAGCUUAUGAUGUGUUCGCCUCUUCAGCCUUCGCGGUAAUAAAACUUGUCUCUUGUUUUCAUUUUUCCUUUGACGUGUUAUUCUUAUUGACUAACUUGUGCUAUCUUGAUAUCUUCUUGUAGCACUAUCAGCAUGCUAUCUUUAUAAAGCAGGCUAGGCUUGAGCACAAACGACAAUUACAGGAUGUUUGUGCUGCUAAGGCUAGGAUAGAGAACGAGCUUGUGGAAGCUCAGAAGUUGGUCAAGCGAGGCCAAGCAGACCUGGAGUCUUUGGAAGCGUCUCUUCAGGCUCAGUUAGCUUUGAAAGAUGAGGAAAUCAGCCGUCUGAAGGCUGAGCUGGCGGAGAUGGAGGUAAAUCGGGAGCUAGAGCUUUUCGAUGCUUGCCAUGAGGCUGUGCUCAAGUCCCGGGCUGAUAUGAGUCAGGAGGUCUUGGAUGGGACUUACAAGACUUGGGACAACACUGAGAACAUUCGACAGUGGAAAGCGUAUCAGGACAAACUUUCUGGGUGGCCAACGUUGAGAGCGACGAUUGAUGUUGUUACUUCCCUUAUUUCUGCUUCGGUUGGACGUAUGUGCCCUUAAUAUUUGCUGUGUAAUCAGGCAUUCGUGCCUUCAGACUAUUUUCUUUUUUGCAUCGGUUGUAUGUACACCCUUGGAUUUCCAUAGUUUAAGUCUACGCCAUUGGGCUAGAUUUAAACUUUUUAUUAUACCUAAAUGUAUGACUUUUUCGGCAGGUCCGGAUCGUCGGGGGGUUCGCCCCCUGGAUCGACUAUAAGACUUAUUUUAUAUUCGAGCGUUUAUAUAUAUAUUUUUACCUAUUCGGAUUUAGUUGUUGGACUAAGACUAAUAGAUGUGAUGCAAGUCUCAGGGCUACGUAGUUGAGCGAUCCCGAGCAGGGCUGCGCUGCCAAGCAAAGCUGCGUUGCCUAGCUCAGCUCUGCCGGGCAAAGCUGGGUUGGAUGGUCGAAUGCUUCUGAGCAGGGCUGCGCUGGGUAAUCGAGCACUGUCGGGUAGGGCCGAACUGGACAAGAAUAUUUUCCCCCCUAUGUUUCCCCCCAUUUAGGCUUAGUUGUUUAAACUCAAGGCUAAAUUUAGGACGUUCGGGGUGAGACGGGCCUGUGUCUUUGACAUGAAAAUUUUCUCCCCCAUUUAGACUUAGUUGUUUAAACUUAAGGCUAAAUUCAGGACGUUCGAGGUGAGACGGGCGUGAGCCUUUGACAUGAAAAUUUUCUCCCCCCAUUUAGACUGUGAUGGAACGGUCUUAUCAGGUUGCGGGUAAGAGGGCUGGCCUUAAUAAAUUUCCCCCUGGUGUGGAGGGGGAGGGGGGGCUGCGCUCCUUAGAGCUGCCUACAUACCCAAUUAAGGGAUCAAGCCCGAAUGUAGUUCUGACCUGCAUGCAAAGGUCAGUAAACGUGUAGUAGAUUGAGUUGGUCUCGGAAGACCUUAUGAAAUAAAUAGAAGCGUAGGGAUCAAGCGUGAUACUGUUUGAGAUGGAUGGCGUUCCAACUGUUGUUGAUGUCACGUCCGUCUGUCGAUUGCAACUUGUAUGCUCCAUGUCACCACUUUGGUGAUCAGGUAUGGUCCUUCCCAAUUCGGGGCUAAUUUGCCCGCACCUAUUUCCUUGGUGUUCUGGAACACCUUUCGUAACACCCAGUCACCCGGCUUGAACGUGCGGGUACGGAUAUGCUUAUUGUAGUGCCUGGCAAUGCUUUGUUGAUACGAUGCUAAUCGGAUAUUGGCUGUGUUCCGUUUCUCGUCGAGGAGAUCUAAUUCGUGGCACAUAGCUUCUUGAUUCUCGUUGUCUGUCGUGAGCUCAUAUCUGGCGGUGGGUACUUCACUUUCUGUUGGGAUUACUGCCUCCAUCCCAUAGGCAAGGGAGAACGGUGUUUCCCCUGUCGAUGUUCUUGUAGUUGUUCGGUAGGACCAUAAUACGCCUGGUAACUCAUCUGCCCAUUUGCCUUUGGCCUUUUCUAGUCGUUUCUUCAGGGUGUUCAUGAUGGUUUUGUUGGAAGACUCCGCUUGUCCGUUUGCCUGAGGAUAUCUUGGUGUUGAGAAGCUCAGCUUUAUAUUCCAGAACUUACAAAAGUCCUGGAAGUCCGCGCUGAUGAAUUGUGAUCCGUUAUCCGUGACAAUCUCUUUGGGCACUCCAUACCGGCAGAUCACGUUCUUCCAUAUGAAUCCCUUGACUUCUUUGUCACGGACUUGGUGAAAUGAGUCUGCUUCUAUCCAUUUGCUAAAAUAGUCAGUCACCGCUAACAUAUAUACCUUCUGACCGGGUGCAGUGGGCAAUUUGCCUACAAUGUCCAUCCCCCAUUUCAUGAAUGGCCAUGGUGAAGUGAUAGCAGUCAUCGGCUCUGGGGGCAGAUGUGAUAUCUGGGCGAACCGUUGACACUUGUGCAUUUCUGCUAAUCAGCCGUCGUUUCAUGGUGGGCCAUAGUAACCUGGUUAUGCGCGGUGGCGAGGCUUCUUCCUCCUGAGUGUUGCCACAUUCCCUUCGUGUAACUCGGACAAGACGUAUCUUGCUUCUCAGGGUUAAUGCAUUUCAAGUAGGACCGUAAAUGAACGUUUAUACAGUUUACCUCGAUGAUGCAGAACCGUGCUGCUUGAGCUUUAGCCGCGUGCUUCGUUCCGAUCAUCCGGAGUAUAUCUUCUCAGAUAUUCCAUUAUGGGGGUAUCCAUGUUCUUCGACGAUACUUCGUCACCUGUUCUUCGGCCUCACUUUUGGAUUGCUGGAUAUGAAGACAAGUGAUCGUUAGUUUUAGGUUGUGCGGUUGAAUUGCUACCAAGGUUGGCCAAAGCAUCAGCAUGACCAUUCUCCCCCCUCGGACUUGGUUGAUGGUGAAUUCUCAAGCAGAUUGGAGCUCUUUCUCUUGCCCAGUAAGCCGUCAUUUAGUAUCUUUGGCUUGAAAAGUUCCCUGCAUUUGGUUAACUACAAGCUGAGAAUCACUAAAUACGUUAAUACGUUUUACCCCAAUUUCCUUGGCUAGUCCGAGUCCGGAUAGCAUGGCUUCGUACUCAGCUUCAUUGUUGGUUGUUUUGAAAUCACAUCGGAUUGAUCGCUCGAUGUUGUCCCUCGUGGUGAUGAAAGGACGACUCCAAGUCCACUCCCUCGUACGUUGCUGGAUCCAUCAACAUAUAGUUUCCAAGUUCCAGUUUGGUCGGGUUCUUCCGUCAGACAGCAUAACUCUUUGUCGGCCUGUAUAGUAAGGUUAGGUGCAAAGUCAACAACAAAAUCGGCUAAUACCUGAGAUUUAAGUGCGGUCCGUGGUUUGUAUGUGAUGUCGUAUUCACUCAACUCCACUGCCCACUUUGUCAAUCGACCGGAUAGUUCCGGCUUAUGGAGUAUGGCCUUUAAGGGAUACGUGGUGGCAACUAUGAUCGGAUGACACUGGAAGUAUGGACGUAACUUUCUUGCUGCGUGGACCAAUGCGAGGGCCAACUUCUCUAGCUGGCUGUAUCGGGUCUCUGCAUCAAGUAGUGAUUUGCUCACGUAGUAGAUUGGUGAUUGUUUCCCAUCUUCCUCUCUGACCAGCACGGCACUGACGGCUGUAUCAGAGACGGCUAGAUAGACCAACAAGGUCUCGUGGUCUUUCGGUUUUGCGAGUAAAGGUGGGCUAGUCAAGUAUUGCUUGAGCUGCUUUAGCGCUUCCUCACAUUCUUCUGUCCACUCAAACGUUCUUGACUUCCUCAAGGUGUUGAAGAAGAGGUGGCAUUUUUCGGAUGAUCUUGAGAUAAAGCGGCUUAAUGCGGCUAUCCUUCCUGUCAAUUUCUGAACGUCCUUCACGCAAGUGGGGGAAGGGAUUCCCUGGAUUGACUCAAUCUGAGCCGGGUUUGCCUCUAUUCCCCGCUGAGUAACCAUGUAACCUAAGAAUUUCCCUGCAUUGACACCAAAAGAGCAUUUAGUAGGAUUUAGCUUCAUAUUGUAUUUUCUAAGAAUUUCAAACGUCUCCCUCAAGUGAUCAAUGUGGUCCUUCGCGUGGAUGGACUUGACCAACAUGUCGUCGAUGUAGACUUCCAUUGUUUGCCCCAACAAACUUGCAAACAUCCGAUUGACCAGGCGCUGAUAGGUUGCUCCCGCGUUCUUCAACCCGAAUGGCAUAUACUUGUAGCAAUAUAAUGCUACUUGGUCAUGAAGGCCUCUUCUCCUCGUCGUCAGGGUGCAUCCGUAUCUGAUGGUAUCCCGAAUAUGCGUCCAUGAAACUCAUCAGUUCAUGGCCUGCUGUCGCAUCCACAGCAUGUCGAUGUGUGGCAGUGGGAACGAGUCUUUCGGGCAGCCUUGUUGAGGUCGUGAAAUCAAUGCAUACCCGCCACUUGUUAUUCUUUUUCUUGACUACCACCACAUUUGCGAGCCAUUCAGGAUAGUGGACUUCCCGGAUCAGUCCAUUCUUAGGAGCUUCUGACUUCAUCAUUCACACUUGAUUCCUUUCGGGCAAACUUUCUCCGUUUCUCUUUCUCGGCGGGUAUUCCGGGGCGACCUGCAACCUGUGAACAAUAAUUUUAGGGUCAAUCCCCGUCAUGUCCUCAUGGGACCAAGCGAAACAAUCGUAAUAAUCAGAUAGGAAGUUGAUAAGCUUCUCUCUGAGCUCUGGUUCGAGUUGUGCUCCAAUCCGGACUCUGUGGUCUGGAAAGCUCGCAUUAAUUUGGACUUCAUCUAUCUCCACCAUCUCCUCCUCUAUCAGGCUGCGUGGUCUCUUCGUUCGUGCAGCUUGAUUAUAAUGCUCCGCCUGUUGAUUCAUGUCUUGAGUGCACUGCAGAGUAUCAUUCGCCUUUGAAUGGGACGGAGCUUCUUGCUGUAAUUGCUAUAAGGACGGGCUUUUCGCUUUCAUAGUAGUUUGGUAGCACGCCCUGGAGUCCUUCUGCUCUCCCUUGAUCUCCUUGACUCCCCACUUGGUUGGGAAUCGUAUGACUUGAUGAUAGGUGGAUGGUACUGCUUCCAUUCCGUGGAUCCAUGGACGGCCAGGAUGACGUUGUAUGCUGACGGGGCAUCUACCACGAGAAACCUAGUGGAAAGGUUGACUCCUUCUGCGUAGACGGGAAGAUCGAUCUCCCCUACAGUAGUCGUACUCUCGCCACUGAAGCCGACGAGUACGGCAGCUUUCUUGAUUAGUUUGGACUCGUCCAAACCCAUCUCCCUGUAUGCACUGUAAAACAGAAUAUUGGCAGAGCUACCAUUGUCUAUUAGUACACGCUUUGUUAAACAGUUAGCAAUAUAAAUGGAAAUAACUAAAGCAUCAUGAUGAGGGUGUAGAAGCUUGUCUGAUUCGGAUGUUGCAAAGCUGAUCAGUUGAGUAGGGUCUGUUGUUCCCGCUUUUCCUGAAGGCGGAACCCCGGAUUUGCUUGAUCUAGCCUGUCUGGUAUGCCUCUUUGCGGCUGAGUGAGUGACUCCGCUGACCUCGGAACCUCCGGAUAUCACGUUUACAGUUCUCUCAUGAUGUGGCGGGUCCGGCGGGCUGUCAUCUCUGUGUUUCUCUUGUCUAUCCCUCGCCUGCUGCAGGGUCUGCUUGCCUUUGUCAGUCAAGUAAUUGGUGAGGUGCCCUUUUUUCAAUAAGUUCGCCACUUCCAGUCUGAGCGCGAUGCAUUCGUCCGUGCGGUGACCGUGGUCACUAUGGAAGUCACACCAUUUUGAUCUAUCUCUUUGGUCGGGUGGGGCUCUCAUUUUCUCCGGCCAACUAACUUUAUCGCCAAGGUUCAUCAGAGCUGUUACCGCCUCUACGGGUGAAAUAGAUAGGAGGUAUUCUGGGAGUUUUGCUCUUUCACGCGGGCGCGUACUUGGUGCUCGAUCAUAGUCUCCUCUCCCUUUGUUUCCUCUGUGAGAUGGCGUGUAAGGCUCACUUCGUCUGUCACGAUUGUCACGACCGGAUCUCCUGUCAACCCUGUAGUCUCUUUCGGGUCUCUCUGGCGGGAAGACUCUUUGCAUGUUGUACUGGUCCUCUUCCCAUUUGAUUUGAGCCCAAGCCUGGAUCAACACGUCUUCCAUUGUCUUGCACGGAUACUUGGUAAGUGUCUUGUACAAGUCUGAUCCUGGCAGAAGGCCUUUACGGAAGGCCGUGACAGCGGUCUGUUCGCUGCAGUUGGUGAUUGACACUUUCUCUUUGUUGAAGCGUCCGAUGUAGUCCCGAAGAGGUUCGCCAUGCCUUUGGACAAUAGCGUACAAGUCUUCUGAGAUUUUUUUCUAUUUCCUGCUGCUUGCUACUGUUGAACAAAAACAUCCGUUAGUUGAGCAAAAGAUCUAAUUGAAUUAUUAGGAAGGUUCGUAUACCACUGGAGGGCCGGUCCUAUUAGGCUAGAACCGAACCCCUUACACAUGCAUGCCUCCCUCAUGUCACGAGGGAUAGCCACGGUAAACAUUCUCUGGCGGUAUUGAGCUAUAUGGCCGUCUGGAUCGGAUGCACCGUCAAACAUCUUCAUAUGUGGAAAGCUAAACUUUUUGGGCAUUUCCACCAAGGCUAUCUCAUCCACGAACGGAGAGUCAGCGUAACAACUCUCUGCACUCUUCUUGAUCGGGGCCGGGACCCGGGAUUCUUGGAUGAUGGCCUCCAUGUCGCAAUCUCUGGCAAGACGGGGUCCAUAUUCUGUUGGACGCUACAGCGUGUCGGCCCUGAUCGCGAGAGGUGGUUGAUCUAUUCCGCCAUUCUGGCCCUUGGGACUGCUCGCCUUGGCCCAUCUGGUUGACCCGUUGGGGCGUCACGCAGAAGUCAUCUUCAUGGGAUCGACGCAUAUCGGUCCGGCCCGUCAGGGUUGAUUGACCUAUUCCCCCGGUCGUCAGGUUGGCCUGGGGGAGGGUACCUGUGACGUUUGUCCCGGUUGCUCCAGGCGUCUGAUCUGGGGUACGCGUUUCACCUACAUUCACAAGAAGGGUGCCCAGAUUAGGAUGGAUAGUCUCCGAUCUAUUGUUCCUUACCGAUGAUGAAGGGUCAUCCGGAUCGAUCUCAGUUCCAUGGGGUGUGAGCGGGACAUCCUCUAUGUCCACCAUGGAGUUGACGGGAACUCGGAACCGGUUAGCACUGAGUGUUUGGAUUUGAGGAGGCGUCUGGAUCUGGUUAAAUGCAUUCAACCGGGCGAGUAGCUCCGCAUUUUGCUUUUCCAACAAGAGCCUACUCUCCCGUUCUUGCGCAAUUUGGUCAGCCAAGGCGGAGAUCCGGGCGUUCACCUCCACUUGGGCAAGUAGUUCCGACUGGGUUGAACCCGAUUGGUUUGAGGCAUUGUUCGGGUCGUGAGCAUCAUUCGGAGUACUCAUGGUGUGACUUGGGCACGGCUUAUCGGAAUUCCUUGAUUGCUAGGGCCCCACGGUGGGCGCCAAAUUGUAGGGGGUGAGUCCAACAAUUACGGAAGUGAUGUCAGUAACGUCUGGAUCAACGGGCACUAGCAACCUGAGACCACAAGUAACGUUAGAGCCCUCCGAAGAGCACCGGUGGGGGUGUCGAUGGAAGGGCCUCCGACGCUCAAGUCAGUGAACGGAUAUAAGUAAUAAACGUAAAUAACGUAACUGAAAUAAAUAAAUGAUAAAGAGAAGACAGUAGUAAGCGAUGUAUUCGGAAGACCGGGGUGUUCAGGAGGUUGAAUUAUAGCUAGUGAGCGACGUGGAAUGAGGGGCGACGGACGUCCGGGCUAGCGGGGCUAGCGGGGCGAUCAGAACCCUAGAAUGUUGUGAGCGUGGAGGCGGAACGAAAGAGCGGGGAGAGCGGGAGAUAACCAGAGUGAGAGAUCGUGUGCUAAUGCAAGGGUGGAUACGAGUGAUUGUCGAUGCCCCUUUCAUUAGUGAGUUGGUAGAUAUAUAUGUUGCCGACGUGCAGGGAGGCGGCUAGGGUUAGGGUUCUGCUGGAACCCCUCUUGCAGCCCUAGAGGUUCCGAUUUCUUAGGAAACGAUCUCCCGCGACUCUCGUCUGACUUAGUCGCCAAGUAACUGCCACCUUUAGGGUUUUCUUGGGCGAUUUAGUAUCUCCCGCAUAUAGGCUUGACUUUGGGCUUGUGCUAUGAGGUGUAUGAACCGUUUUAUCGGCUAGCCCGUUGGGCCUAUAAUUUUACUAAUUGGACUAUAUACGAAUUUUGUCCACUACAGUUUGUAAAAAAUUCACUAACAAUUAUACAUAAGGUAAUUGAUCGAUUUGACUUGGGCCUAUUGCUAACACAUGAGUAAGAGAGUAUACGCUAUAGGGCACACUACAAGGUAUCUGUACCUUCCAAAUAUUAAUAAUAACGAUAACCUAAACAACCAUAUAAAAAGAAAAGAAAAAAUAUAAAUUUGAUAAAAAAAGAGGAAGAAAAAAAUAAACUAUUUAAAAUUAAAGUAUAAAUAAUUUAUUUGUUUUAAAUUCAUAUUUGAUAAUUUAUACCAAAUUAAAGAUCUUGCAUAACUUAAUUGAAGAUGGUUAAUUACGCCAAAAACCAGAACUGCUGAUUUCCAAACUCCAGAAUUUUUUAUUAUCAAAAAUUCUCUAAAUUAAUUAAGGACUUGAACAAUUUUUUCCAUGCUUUCUAAAAAUUCUCAAAUUCAAAGCUGACAUGGCAUAUUUUAAGUUACUGAAAAAAUGAUGUGGCAUUGCCGAACGAUUAAUAAAACGACGUCGUUUAGGUGUGAUAAAACAACGUCGUUUUUGUCAUGUGUGUUGUCUCUCUCUCUCCACUUUCUCUCUCCUAGAAUUGACGCUGUCGCCGCGGAUCGGAGUUGCUGCUGCGUGAAGAUGAGGCGCAACUAUUGCCGCUGCCUACCGCGAAUCGGAGUAGGGGAUGAGCCAGAGUUCACCUAUUAAUUGCUUCGUUUUCCUUUGUCUUCUCCGCGACUAAGAAGUCUGCUAAAAUUGGGGGCAGCGGCGGUAGUUCACCGAGCCCAAAGCCAACGGCCCCUUCGCACCCUUUUUGCUUCUCGUCGGCCCCUUCACGCCCUCGUCUCUGACCACCGGCGAUAUCCACAUAGGAAUUUGAUGGAAUCAACAAACGUUUGGUGGCGGAGGCGGUGGAUCUGCAGGGUUGGUUGGGGGAAUAGGAAAGCGGCGAAUCUUGUGUGGUGGUGAGGGAAGGCAGCGUAGGGGGCGGCAUAUCUGGUGUGGUGGUGGGGAAAGGCAACGGAGAGAGCGACAGAUCUGGUCUGGUAAUGCUCCAUCUCGUAAAAACAUGUGCAGAGGGUUUCGCCGUCGGAGGAUCGAACCAGGCUAUUCGAGGAUAGAGCCAACGCCGUUCUCGGAUCCUCCUGCCUCUGGCGGAAUUUUUGUUAUGGUACAACUUCUUCAAGCACCUCGGCGCCUUAGGCGGUGGAUCUGCGGGGGUGGGUGGGGAGCGAAGGCAACUGGCUUUACUCCUACGAUUGGUGGGUAGACUGGGCAGCGGAUCUGGUGCGGCGUCGGCAGGGGCGCUGGAUCUGGUGCGGCGGUCGGUGGAAGGAGGUGAAAUUAGGGUUUGGCGGGUGGGGGGAAGGGGGGAGACGAUGGGGGGUUUUUUUUUGUUCUUUUUUUCCAUGUGUCAAUUUUCAGUCAUAGUAGGCGCAAUGUCGGUGUCAUGUCAGCUCGGUGCUUCACCGGAGCAAAAAAGCAUGGAAAAAUUGUUCAAUCCCUUAAAUUCAGGGAAUUUUUUAUUAAAAAAAAAGUUCAUGACAAAUUUUUGAAAUUGGCCCAAAGUUCAUGAUUUUUGGCGUAAUUAACUCAUUUUUUGGCGUAGUUUUUUAACCCAAAUGUAGUUACUGUUAUGCUCUUUUUUUUUUUUGAUCGGGCAAAGUCAUGUUAGAUGUUAGUAGUUAGUUCCCCAUCCACUCCAAGAACCACCUUAUCUCUCCAAUCACCAAAUCCACCUUAUAUCUCCAAUCUCCAAUUCGCUCCCAAGAGGGAUCGAACCCGGGUCACUUCACUUAAGUGAGGACCUGGUGGCCAGUGGGCAAAGCCCCCUGGUUUUUCUUAAUUAAACUAUAAUUUCGUUCAUUUUAAUUGGUAAUUAAAAUUGGGAUACAAAUUUAAUUAUAUCCGUACGAUGAAGCAGUUUUGAUGGAUGAGAUUUAUUCUUUAAUCUCUAUACAUAGGGUCAUUCUUUGUUAAACUCAACCAUAUAUAUAUAUAGGGAAGGGCUAAAAUAAAAACACUUCUAAAGAGAAACACAAUCAAUUCAAAAUGUGCAACUGGUAGUUCUGUGACCUCAAAAGAUUGAAUCAUUGACUGACUGUAACAAUAGAACUCAAGCUUUAGAAUGAAAUUCAGAGUACAAAUGUCAGCAACAGGGGAUAAUUUUUUAGAGUAAAAAAAAAGUAGGGAGCAAGUAUAAUAAAGUUCUUCAAAGAACCUAUUUCGAAGGUGGUGAACAAGUGGAUUGCAGGAAAAGAUCAAUAUAGUCCUAAAUUUGGGAAAAUAGCAAAAACAAUAAGCAUCUGAUGUUAAAAGACUUUGAAACGCAUUAAUGGUGCUCCAUCCUAAAGUAAUUGAAAGAAGAUCAACUCAUAGAGCACCAGGAAGAUGUUAAAAUAUAUAAAUUGUUACAAAUAAGAGUGAACAUGAAAAAUAUCAGUAAAUAUCCUGUUCUCACAUAUUAGAAAGGUAAGAAGAAACACGAAACGAAAUCAUCACAAUUACAAACAAUGAAAAAUUACUAACAAAACAUGUGCAGUGAAAUUGAAGUGCAUCAUCUUAAAGAAGACAAUCUGCGCCUAAACUUUAGCUCAAUAAUUUUUCCCUCAAUAAUGAAAAUCUCAAUUAUUGACAAACAAAAUCAAAACUAACUGAUAAUCUACCUUUAAUAUUGCCUCAUAACGCAAUAAUUGAAAUGUAAAACUAGAACUUGCGACGGAGGCGAGGAUACGGCGGCGGUGGUGCAGUGCAGCAGCAAGUUAGGGCUUUUCUUAGGUUAGUGCAGCGGAGGAACUCAAAUAAGAAGGUAGCUCGAAUGAAGAAGUUUUACCUACUCAUCUGGAAAAAGAAAGUAGAGAGAGACGAACAAAGCUACGCAUUCAAAACUUCAUUUUUGAAUCACAGCGCCGAAUUUUGAAAGUCUAAAAGAAAACUCAUUUUUUUUCUUUCUUGAUAAAUUAACACAAUUAAAUAAGAAAAUUUAAAAAUCGCGUCACAUGAUACUCGUACCCAAGAUUUUUGGCCUUAAGCAUUAAACUUUAUCGCUUGGCCAAUAUAUACACACUAAAAAAAAUCCUUAAAGAACACUAUAUAGAUUUUAAUAAAAACAAUUAUUAUAUUGUGAAUUAAGAAAGGAUCCAUUUAAAAAAUAAUUUUAAUAAUGCUAAAUAAUUAUAUGUAAAUGAAGAAAAGGGCUCAUCGAUCAUAUUAUAGAAAAUUAUGAAAAAUGAAUUAAUUUUUGUGAAUAUUCUAAAAAAAAUAUUUUGUAAACUUAUAAUUUAAUUAAAAAAUUGCCAAACAAAACACAAACAGAAAUCAAGAAACAUAUAGUGAGAGAAAGAAGUAAUGAUCGGGAAUCAAUAGGUUAUCUAGAGAGAGAAACAAACAAUACCAAUUCUCAUCCAAUUUUUACUUAUGUAAUAAUGUAAUGCAUGUACAACAAUUUUGACAAAAAAAAGAGAAUGUUAUAAACUAGAGAGAAGCGAGAGAAUAGAGAAGAGAAUACGAAUGAAGUGUAUUCAAUAUGGAGGUUAAAGGCCUCUAUUUAUACAAGUAGGAAGCUAGGGUUUUAGGGAGAUUUCUUGGUCAACACACAUAAGAUAUAUCUUAUAGAUAUAUUUACAACACUUCCCCUUGAUUGAUCAAUCCCUAAAACAAAAAAUGUUGCCUCAUUAAAACCUUGCUAGGAAAAUCCAAUGGGACAAAACCUAGUCGAAGGAAAAAGAGUACAACUACUUUCCCCUGAACUUGAAAACAUUGAAUAUCUUUGAGUCAACGCAUGUCGAUCUCGUGUACCAACUUUUUGAAUGUCGAUGUUGGUAAUGCCUUGGUGAAUAAGUCCGCCAAAUUAUCACUUGAGCGAAUUUGUUGAACGUCGAUAUCGUCAUCCUUUUGAAGGGCGUGUGUGUAGAAGAGCUUGGGAGAAAUAUACUUCGUCCUAUCGCCUUUGAUGUAUCCUUCCUUGAGUUGUGCGAUGCAAGCAACAUUGUCUUCAUAUAAAAUAGUUGGUUUGACCUUUGAUGAAGUUAACACGCACGACUCUUGGAUAUGACUCGUCAUAUUUCUCAACCAUACACAUUCUCGACUUGUUUCGUGGAUUGCAAUGAUUUGAGGAUGUUGCAGUCAAGGUUUGCUUCACAGAUUUCCAUGAUAUAGCUGUUCCACCACAUGUGAAAACGUAUCAAAUUUGUGACUUAGCUUCAUCUGGAUCGGAUAAAAUCCUGCAUCCGAAUACCCCACUAGAGUAUUAUCAAAAUUUUCUUGAUAAUAUAAUCCAAGGUCAAUGGUACCCUUUAGAUAAUGUAGAAUGUGCUUAACACCAUUUCAAUGUCUCAAAGUGGGUGCAGCGCUAAAUCUUGCUAGAAGAUUGACAGAAAAAGCUAUAUCUGGUCUAGUAUUAUUAGCCAGACAAGUCAACGCUCCAAUUGCACUUAGAUAUGGUACUUCUGGACCAAGUAUUGUUUCACUCUCUUCAAUUGGUCGAAAUGGAUAUUUCUUAGUAUCAAUAGAUCUAACGACCAUUGGUGAUGCUAAUGAAUGUGCAUUAUCCAUGUAAAAGUGUUUUAACACUUUUUCUGUAUAUGUGGAUUGAUGGAUAAACGUUCCUCCACGGAUACGUUCCAUUUGCAAACCAAGACAAAACUUUGUCUUUCCCAAAUCUUUCAUCUCAAUUCUUUCUUCAAAUAUUCAGCAGUUUUAUUGAGCUCCUCAGGAGUCCCAAUUAAAUUUAAAUCAACAACAUAAACUGCUAUGAUUGCAAAUCCACUUUCGGUUUUCUUAAUGAAAACACAAGGGCAUAUAUCUUUAUUCUUGUAUCCUCUUUCAAAAGAUACUCGCUCAGUCUAUUGUACCACAUACGACUAGACUGUUUCAACAUAUACAACGACUUUUGCAUUUUAAUUGAAUUCAUGCUUUUGGGUUUUGACUGCAAUCAUUUAGGCUAUUUGUUAAAUCCUUCAGGUAAUUUCAUAUAUUAUAUGUCAUUUCUAAUGACCAUAUAUAAGCAGUUACUACAUCCAUAAGGCCAUAUCAAGCCUUUGUGACACAGCCAGACUAAUCAAAAUCUAAAGUAAUAGCGUCAUUACGGAGAGUAUUUUCCUCAUAAUCAAUUCCUGGUUUUUGUGAGAAACCUUGUGCUACGAGUUUGCUCUAUAUCUCUAACUUCAUUUUUCUGUUCUCUUUCUAACAAAAUCCAUUAUCAACAGAUUUUAGAUUCCGGAGUUAAGGUAUACCAAAUACUUUCCGUUAUCACAGGAAUUUAAUUCCCUUUCUAUAGCUUCUUUUCACUUUGGCCAAUCAAGUCUCUGUUUGCAUUCUGCAACAGAUUUUAGUUGAGGAUCCUCAUUUAAAACAUGAAGAGCUAUAUGAAAGGCAAAUAUAUCAUCAACAAUGAUAUUUUCUCUCUCUAGUAUCUGAUGUAAAUAAUUUAUUGAGAUCUCAUGAUUUUCAGAUACUUGUAAUUCUUCAGAAAUUACAUCGCUUUCAUUUGGUUGAUUAGUCAUUUUCGUCAUUGUUUGGUUUCCAUCUUGCCCCUUUCUUUUUCUAGGCAUAGAAUCUUUGGAACCAACUGGUCGACCACGUUUUUGACGAAGUUUAGACUCAUUUGCUGCCAAAUUUAUUUGUCCUUCAAGGACAUCAAUUUUUAUUUUAGCUGGAGUAUUUGCAGCAUAUAUGUGAGAUUGUGUCACUUUUCUUGUAUCUACAAAAGCAUCAGGAAUUUGAUUUGCAAUAUUUUGCAAAUGAAUGAUCUUUUCAAUUUCUUGUUUACAUUGAUUUGUUCUAUAAUCAAAAUGUGAUAAGUUUUUCUCAUUUCAAGAGAUUUUCUUGUGCUUUUCUGGAUGUAGAUUUGUUCCUUCUAAUGUUGGAAAUGUCAUUUCGUCAAAAUGACAAUCUGCAAAACGUGCAGUAAAUAAAUCACUUGUUAAAGGUUCUAUAUACCUUAUAACCGAGGGUGAAUCAAAUCCAACAUAUAUCCCAAGUCUUUGUUGGGGACCCAUUUUUGUUCGUUGUGGGGGUGCAAUUGGGACUUGAACCGGCAACUAAAGUUCGUAAGUGAGAAACAUCAGGUUCUCGGCCAAAGAUAUUUGCAUUGGGGAUAUUCAUGAUUGGCUGAUGGCCUUAGUCGAAUUAAUAUUGCAGCAUGUAAUAUGGCAUGACCCCAAGCAGUAGUUGGGAGUUUUUAUUUCAUAAGUAAUAGUCUAGCAAUAAUUUGAAGACGUUUAAUAAAUGAUUUCGCUAAACCAUUUUGAGUAUGGACAUGAGCUAUUGGAUGUUCAAUCUCAAUUCCAAUAGCCAUACAAUAGUUAUCAAAUGUUUGAGAUGUAAACUCACCAGCAUUAUCGAGACGAAUUCUUUUAAUUGAAUUGUCUGGGAAUUGAGNNNNNNNNNNNNNNNNNNNNNNNNNNNNNNNNNNNNNNNNNNNNNNNNNNNNNNNNNNNNNNNNNNNNNNNNNNNNNNNNNNNNNNNNNNNNNNNNNNNNNNNNNNNNNNNNNNNNNNNNNNNNNNNNNNNNNNNNNNNNNNNNNNNNNNNNNNNNNNNNNNNNNNNNNNNNNNNNNNNNNNNNNNNNNNNNNNNNNNNNNNNNNNNNNNNNNNNNNNNNNNNNNNNNNNNNNNNNNNNNNNNNNNNNNNNNNNNNNNNNNNNNNNNNNNNNNNNNNNNNNNNNNNNNNNNNNNNNNNNNNNNNNNNNNNNNNNNNNNNNNNNNNNNNNNNNNNNNNNNNNNNNNNNNNNNNNNNNNNNNNNNNNNNNNNNNNNNNNNNNNNNNNNNNNNNNNNNNNNNNNNNNNNNNNNNNNNNNNNNNNNNNNNNNNNNNNNNNNNNNNNNNNNNNNNNNNNNNNNNNNNNNNNNNNNNNNNNNNNNNNNNNNNNNNNNNNNNNNNNNNNNNNNNNNNNNNNNNNNNNNNNNNNNNNNNNNNNNNNNNNNNNNNNNNNNNNNNNNNNNNNNNNNNNNNNNNNNNNNNNNAGCUUUACUCCCUGCGUCAGGGUGGCCCCAGUCAUCUCUGCUCCUCUCCUGCCAAUUUCAGUAAAUAAGCCAGGCCAAUUAAAAUAUUGAGUUAUUCACAAGCUAUCUUCGAAAUUUGAGUGAGUGCUGGAAAACUCCGCAAAAACCCUAUGGGAAAAAUUCGGUAGAGAAAAAGAGUACAAAACAUAUAUAUUUACUCAUAUAUUACACUAGUUGCCUCGUUAAAAACCUUAACUAAGAAAACCUCGUAGGAAAAAACUUAGUAAGGGAAAAAGAGUACAACCAUUCGGCCUUUAGGGCCAUUUGACCUUCACGGUCUAAUUUUUGAGAGCAUGUAAUAUAUAUUUAUCUUCAAGUUGUGCUACUUUAAUAGCAUCAAUUUAAGAUCUUGAAUGUAAUAUUAUUCAAUAACACUACUUGUGCUCAAUGUCUAAUUUUCGAGAGCAUGUAAUAUGAAUUGCUCUUCAAAAGCAUGUACUUGUGCUAUUUUAAUAUCAUCAAUUAAUUUUCAAGAUCAUUUUGAAAAGAAAAAAAAAAAACUGUAUACAUAUAGUAUAUUUCAUAAUAUAACAUAUCAAAUUUCAAAAUAAGAGCACAAAAAUCACAUAAUUUAGAUAUGAAAAUUUAUCAUAACAUUAAACUUCACAAUAAACAAAUUUAUUUGAUUUGCUUUAAUGAAUAUCAAUUCGUCAUAUUAAAUUGUGAGCAUUAAAUUGAUAACACACAUAAGAUUCGAGAACUAGAACUAUGGUGCUGAUAACGUGUUAUAAACUAGAGAGAAACGAGAGAAUAGAGAAGAGAAUCUGUAUUCAACGUAUUCAAUAUGAGGGCCAAAGGCCUCUAUUUAUACAAGUAGGAAGCUAGGGUUUUAGGGAGAUUUCUUGGUCAACACACAUAAGAUAUAUCUUGAAGAUAUAUUUACAACACUAACAUAUUUACUUCCUUAUUUUUGAUUUUGAACUGUUAGCCCAUCAACAUCUCAUAAGAAGUGCAAAAUUUCUCAUAUUUUUGACUGAUACGUAGCUCUGUCUAAUAUUUUUUUAUUUUUAUUUUUAUUUUUUAUAAGUGGGUCCUACUCUACGGAUACAAACUGUCAAUUGAGAGAUAAGAAUAAUAAAAUACUCAUAAGAUCUCUAAUUUUUAAAGUUUCAAUUGAGUGAUUAUAUUUUUACUGACAAUCAUUAUAUAAGCAAAGUUUAUAGCACAUGAUUGAAUCUACGAAAUAACACACAUAAAUCUUGGGAAUAUCAACUGCUCAAAUUAUUAGCAUUCAUAUUAAAUCAAAUGCACAUAGAAAUAAAUUAAAUAAAGAAAAUGAAAAUUUUCUUUUUCAACAUAGCAAAAUUCAUUGAAGCCCGAUGAAAAAAAAGAACUAAAUGAAGCAAUAAAAAACGAAUGGGGUUUUAUUAGUGGUUGGAUAUUUUUGGAAUUAUAUUAAACAAAAUGAAAAUUCGUCAAAAAUACCAAAUAAAUGAAAUCCAUUCUUCAUAAUACAUUGAUAAAUAGAGAGAUAAAUAUAUAGGGCGUUAUAGCGGAUUAUAUGAUAGGAGGUUAAAGCAUGUGAAAGCAGCAAAUUGAUUUAUUUAUUUUCUUAUUUUUAUUUUUAUUUUAUUUUAUUGAUGGACGAUAAUUGAUAGGAACCUAAAAUGUGAUUUAUCGGAAGUUUGUGGCAUCCGACUUUUCUUGCGUGAAAUUAAGCGACUUUAGCGUGUGACAGCCCACUUCAGUUUUCCACUUUGAUUGCAACUACCGAACUAUCAAAAUUAAUAAUAGAUUACACCACUGCCAACGCCACCUCCGCAAUUGGGAGAAAUCAGAAUACCAAAAUCCUUCAAAGAAACUUGAGGAACUCCGACAAGAAAGAGUGAAACUUCUUAACACCAUUCUUGCAAGGAUUCUCUCGAUAAACUGGUGGAGGUCAACACUAGGAUUGAGCGCUUUACCGAAGCAGAGGAACUUCAUUGGAAGCAGAGAUCUAGAGUCAAUUGGCUAAGUUGGGGAGACAGAAAUACCAAAUAUUUUCAAAAAUUUGCUUGUGAACGAAAGAGGNUUUGUAUAGUAUUUUCUCAUAAUUUCUUAUAUAACCAACAAUAAAUAAAUAAAAAUAAUUUUAAUAUGACUUGUUAUUUUCAACAUAUACCUUUGUAAUUUCAUCUCUCUUUCUCUCUCUCUCUUUAAUUGAGAUUUUCUCACUCUAAGUCUUAACUUUCUCUUUUGAUUGUAAGUUCAAGUUCAAUUAUCUAAAUAUUUUGAUAAAUUAUAAGAUUUCUAUAAGAACAUUCACACCCGAUAAAAUAAUAAAAAUGAUAAUUAUUAUUAAGAAAAGUGAUAAAAGAGUGGAUUUCAAAAAUGCUUAAGUUGAAAUAAUAAAAAUAAAAAUUAUUCACUGAAAAUAAAAAAUUUAAAAGUAACUAUAUUUACCAUUAUCCUCUUCACGUAAAAAACUUAAAAAUUCUUUAUUAAUUUUUUAGUUGUGAAUUCGAUUAUUUGAACUCGAAUUCACAACCAAAAUUAUUUCUAGUUGUGUAUUCUAACUUUAAAACUUGAAUUCACAACGAAGACUAUUUCUAGUUGUGAAUUAUAACUUUAAAGCUCGAAUUCACAACCAAUGUGUAUUCAAGUUAUGAAUUGUUCUUAUUCCUAAGCUCAAAUGUCCCAAACGUAUAACUGAAUUCCGACCUAUCAAUCUCUGCAACACUAUUUAUAAGAUAGUGACUAAAGUUUUGGCGAAUAGGCUUAAACUUGUGCUUGGAAGUAUUGUGGACGAGAUGCAGAGCGCCUUUGUGCCGGGCCGGAUGAUUACGGACAACAUUCUCAUCGGAUAUGAAUGUAUGCAUUGGUUACGUACUCAAAAGAAAGGUUUGCAGGGCUUCGCGGCGGCUAAGCUCGAUAUGAGCAAAGCCUAUGACCGAGUGGAGUGGGGGUUUCUGAAGGCAGUGAUGAGUUCGAUGGGUUUUCCUUCCCGUUGGUUGAACGUUAUCAUGGACUGCAUUACUACUGUCAAAUUUUCCUUUGUGAUUAAUAGUAAGGUUUUUGGUUCGAUCACUCCCUCUCGCGGUAUCCGCCAAGGCUGUCCACUGUCACCCUCUCUUUUUGUUCUCUGUGCACAGGGCUUGUCGGAUAUCCUCCAUGGAUUUGUGCGCAGGAAAAGCUUUGAGGGGCUUAGAGUUGCUAAAGCUAGUCCAAUUAUUUCCCACCUUCUUUUUGCGGAUGACAGUUUACUCUUCUUCAAAGCCAACGCCCGAGGGGCCCUUGCUAUCCGGGAGGCACUGGACUUGUACUCUGCCGCUUCGGGCCAGCUGGUUAACUUUGAAAAAUCUGCCGUUUCUUUCAGUCCCUGCACGCCCACCACGGAUGUCGACGAUGUGGUGAAUAAUUUGGGGUGCAGCACACAGAAGGGCACUCCAUUUACCUAGGCCUUCCCACCGUUAUUCUUCGGAGGAAAAAACUGCAGUUCGAAUUUCUUCGUGAAAGAGUUUUUAAGAAGCUUCACUCGUGGAAAAAUAGGCACUUCUCAGCGGGAGGAAAGGAGGUCUUAUUAAAAUCCAUUGUCCAAGCAACUCCUACCUACACGAUGAGCUGCUUUAAAAUCCCUCAGUCGGUGUGUUUAGACAUCGACAAAGCCUGCGCCGACUUUUGGUGGGGAGUCUCCGAGUCAGGUAAACGCAUGCAUUGGGCCAGAUGGAAAGCGCUUUGUGAGCCGAAAUCAAGAGGAGGAAUGGGGUUUCGUCAGAUGGAACCCUUCAACCAAGCUCUCCUCGCCAAACAAACGUGGCGGAUCAUUAAAUAUCCCAAUUAUCUCUUGACACGUGUCCUUAAAGGAAGAUAUUUCAAAGAUGGGGAUGUGGCUGAUGCAAAAAUCCCUACCAAUGCAUUUUACUCGUGGAGAUCUUUAUGUUGGGGUAGGGAAUUGCUUAAAAAAGGAAUGAGGUGGAGGAUAGGCGAUGGUAAGCAAGUUAAAGCAUUUUCUGAUGCGUGGAUUCCGAGUGAGGGUUCUGGUGUCGCCUGCUCGAGCGCCCAUGGACGAGAGGAUAUGGUUGUGGCUGAUUUUAUCACUUUGGAAGGCAAAUGGGAUGAAGCUCAAGUCCACAAUUCUUUUCUUACACAUGAGGCUUCUGCUAUUUUAACUUUGAACAGGGACAUUCCGGCUGCCAAGGAUGAUCGAUAUUGGCGUCUUGACGAGAAAGGGAAGUUCUCCGUUAAAUCAGCUUAUCUGCUCGCUGUGGGUUUUUAUGACUCGCACCAAUCACUAUCUAAGUUCAGUCAGCAAGUCUAGUGGAAGAAUUAAAGUUUGGAGUGCUAACAUCCCGCCAAAAGUGAGAGUUUUCUUAUGGCGAGCGACGACAGAUCGGAUUGCUACUGAUGCUAACCUGUUUCGGCACCAUAUUCCUAAUAACGGCAUGUGCUCGUGGUGCCGCAGGGAUUGGGGAAGCACUGUUCAUUGCCUUAUUCAUUGUGAAGUGGUUUGCUCGGCGUGGAAGAGAUCUAAAUGGUGGAGAUUAUUGAAAAGAUGCAAGUCUUUGGCCCUUCAUGAUAUUUGUUCUCUGGUCUACGAAGAAGGUGAAAGGAAGGACUUUGAGUUAUUUUGCAUUUAUUUAUGGAAGGUUUGGAAUUGGCUUUGUGAAGUUAAGCAUGGUUCUCUUCCAAUGGGGAAAUUGGAAUGGCUUGAGGGAGAGGUUUUCCUUGAUAUGUUCCAGAAGGCUAGGGCCUCGGCUUCUGCCAGCAUGCAGAUCCUCCCCAAAGAAGGCGACAGGAACUGGUUUCCGCCAAGAAAAGGGGUUUUAAGGCUUGACGUGGAUGUAUCAGUUCAUGAAGACGACGGAGCAACAGGGGUGGGUUUCGUGUUGAGGAACUUCUUGGGCGACCUUGUUGCUGCCGCUGCACAUUGUAUUGGAAGGACGAAGACUGUGCUUAUGGGAGAGCUCCACGCUUUGCUUCUCGGCAUUGGGAUUUGUCUCGAGAAUGAUACUGGCCCGAUCGAAGUCUUUACUGAUUCGCUCCUUGCGGUGCACGUUGUUCACGAGAAAUACAAGGGAAUGGAGUCCCUCAGUGAUGAGUUGUUCGAGGCUUUCAGUCACGCCAAAGAACAUAUCGUCCUUGAGUUUAGCCAUAUGCGCCGUGAGGCCAAUAGCGUUGCUCAUGCGUUAGCUAAUUUGUGCUUCCUCCCGUGGUGUAACUGUCUGGAAGUCGGCUUUCCCGGGCUGGCUGAUAGACAUUUCUCAUGAUGAUUUAAUAUAAGUCUUGGUGUUUCGCUAAAAAAAAAAGUUAUGAAUUGUAAUUUUAAAACUCGAAUUCACAACUAAGACAACUAGUUUGUGAAUUAUAGUUUUAAAGCUCGAAUUCACAACCAAGACAACUAGUUGUGAAUUCUAGCUUCAAAACUCGAAUUUACAAAUUACAAUCAAAAAGCGAUUCAGUUGUGAAUUCAAGAAUAUUAACAACGCAAACUCACUUUCACAACAAUUUGACAGCACACAACUUGAAAUAUUUGAUUAAAUUCAUAGUAAUUUCUCUAUUACUUGUACCUUUUUAUUUAGGGAUAAUUGUGUGUAAUAUCACCAACUAUCGCAAAAUUUCAUUUUUCCCAUAAUCUCGGAAAAUUUCAUUUUUUUUUUUAUCAUAAAUCACAAAAGCAGUCCAUUUUUUCCAUACCAGUUUUAUAGUAAUUACAAAACCACCCCUCAGAUAUGCAAAAUAUCACAACAACCCACACAUGAUUUUAUUUAGAUCAGAUUACCCUAAUGAGAAUUCUUAUAAAUAUAACUUCAUCAAAAAUCACCAAAAAAGGCCCAACAUGCUUCCGUAUCACUUCAAUAUUAACUUUAACGUAAACCAACUUUAUACCUUUAGUCGAACUACUUUCGGGAUCUGGUUUGUUGCGUUUUACAAACCCUCAUCACCGCCGGGAUUCGUCCAACCACGCACUCGCAAGAGAUGGUUGCAACACAAUUACUUCAGCGGAAACUUUGGAAAACCCAGAGUUCAUCGCUCUUGUUUUACGGAUAAAAUCCAACCACACAGACGCAUUAGAUGGUUAAGCGAUGAUUCUCUCUAAGAGUUCUAAGUUUCGACGUAUAAUACUUAGUAGGUAAACCAAAGAAAAUAUUUACUUAGCCGGAAAGUUGAGCAAAACAAAGCGUUUCUUGAGGAAUUAUAAAAUAUUUAAUACAUUAAGUAAUAUCUUCUAUAGGGAGGAGAAAAACUUGCUACUCAUUGGUAGCUCUUACUUGUAUACAUAAAAAAAAAUAAUAAUAAGAACUGAAAGGUGGUGUUUUGUUUCUGAUGGACGUUUUUUCGGAUCCCUAUAAUUGCUCUUACUUGCUACCCAUGUUUGCCUGGUGGAAAUCUGAUCUUCCGUGAAAUUGGUGAUAAUUGAGGACUGACUCUCGGGUGCUUUGACUCGGUUCGAAGCUUGGUUGUCAGGUGAUUCCCCUUUCCUGCCGGUUCAAGGGCUGCAUUAAAAAAGUCAACUCCAAGACAUCCCCUCACUUGAGGGACUCGUUCAUUCGNUCACGCUUUGCUUCUCGGCAUUGGGUUCUGCCUCGAGAAUGAUACUGGCCCGAUCAAAGUCUUCACUGACUCACUUCUUGCGGUGCACGUUGUUCACGAGAAAUAUAAGGGAAUGGAGUCCCUCAGUGAUGAGUUGUUUGAGGCUUUCAGUCACGCCAAAGAACACAUCGUCCUUGAGUUUUGCCAUAUGCGCCGUGAGGCCAAUAGCGUUGCUCAUGCGUUAGCUAAUUUUGCUGCUUCCUCCCUUGGUGUAACUGUCUGGAAGUCGGCCUUCCCGAGCUGGCUGAUAGACAUUUCUCUUAAUGAUUUAAUAUAAAUCUUGCUGUUUCGUUCAAAAAAAAAGGUUUGUAAGCAGUUUACGGUGAUUCGGUUCAUUUUUUAGCAACAUAUACUAGACUUAAAAAAUUAAUAUUUUCUGUGAUUAGUCAUCAUUUAAAUAAAUAAAAAGUGCAGUGCGGACCACUUUUUCAGCAACAUGUACUAGAGUUCAUUUUUAAAGAUAUGCAAGGAGUUACGGUGAAUCAAUUAAUAUUUUCUGUGAUUAAUUAGUCGUCGUUUAAAUAACAACUCUCAGGAAUAAUUUUAAUAAAUUACGCGUGUAUAUGUGGGUGUCUCUUUUCUUUUCUUAAAUAAAAAAUAAAAAAAUUGAGGAAUUUGAGGAUUGAAUAACCGCGAUAAUAAUUAGUGUGCUCUCAUGCAUGUAUGUAUGAGUCCACUACUAUCAGCGAAUUUUGAAAUUAUUGUCAAUUAAUAUUUUAAUAGUUCGUGUGUUAGUAUUAUUAAUACUAUUGGAAUACUUUAGUAGGGCUAAAAGGAGCCACUAAUUAUAUUUCAUAACUUUAAUUUGAGUUUAGUGGUCUAGAAGUAGCAGGAAAUGCAUAAUUAAUUCAUAAUGACCUUUUAAAGUAAAAAUGAGUCCUCAUUUUUACCUCACCACACACUACCGGUCCCCUUAGCACAUGGUCAAUGGGUCAAGGGUCAACUCUUCCUUCUCCACAUCAAAACCCUCAUUAUUGUUGUGUCCCCCAUCUACCACCUAAAUUCACUUAUUAUAACUUAUUUAUUACCUAAUUUUAUACUCAUAACUCUUCAAUUCCUUCCCCCAAUUUAAGAAGUUUAAAGAUCAUUAAUGAUACACACAUUUGAAAGUCAUAUUAAUAACAAAAUUACAAUAUUGUGACAAGAGGCAAAUAUAGAUUAAUGCAACUUGUGUUGCUCAAAUUAGUAAUGCACGUACUUCAACAGCACAUUAAUUUAUCAUCCAAGUAUUUACCUACAUAAGAAAGAAUUGUGAGGAAAAAAAAAAACUUUCGUUAAGAUUUAUAAUAAUCCUACAUAUUUUUAUACAAAAAAUCACUCACCUAUUAAUCACUCAAUAUUUGAAAGCGUAGAAUGCAUGGCAAGAUUGUUGUUGCGACUUACAGUUUCAUAGUAAUCUUGAAAACUCAUUUUCCAUUGCUAAGUUAUUUUUCAUAUUGGGUUUCUCAUUGAGAUAAUUAGUGCAACACAAGAGUAAAUAUAUAUCACUCAUUUUCAAGAGUGAAUAUUCUUUUGGGAUGUUCCAUUUAUGAGUUUCUUAACAAGACGUGAGCAUCACAUAGUAAUCUGAGAAGAACUAGUGUUAUAUAUUUAUGGGAUAGUACUAGUUAUAAGAUUCUGAAAUCCUUUAAUUUUCAUAGUAUUUUUCUAUAUUCGCUUCAACAAUUUAGUUACGAUAAAAUUUAGUGAUCCAAUACUGUAUACAAUUUUAUUUGUGUAAGGUGCUAUUAUCUAUAACUUGACCGAUUUGACAGCUAUCAGUCAUAAAAGUCAACGAUUUGACAGCUAUCAGACUACUCCCAACCGUGACUUUGGGGGAGUGUCACGCGCAUAAGACAAAAAAUAGAUGAAAAAAAAAAUCACAAAGUCACGAAUUUCCGUGACCGAGGCGGCCAUCCACCCUAAGUCACCAUUUGUACUUUAUUAUUCUUUUUACACAUGGCAGGUUCUUAUUCGUUUGUUAAAAUUUUAUAUUUUAAAUAUAUUUUAUCAUAGUUUUUGGAAGUCUAUAUUUUAUCUAUAGUUAAUUCUUUAUUGAAAAUAAAAUUAUAUUAAAAUUCAUAUUAUUANAUAUAUAUAUAUAUAUAUAUAUAUAUAUAUAUAUAUAUAUAUACAUAUAUAUAGGGGGCGGUUAUAAUGAGAACCACAAUUAUCGUGAGAACAUAAGAACCAAUAAAAUUACUGCAUCUGCUAUACAAAUUAAUGCAUCCGCUAUUAAAUUUAAUGCAUCCGAAAAAAAUAUUUUUUUUGCUCCCUUCGGGAUUCGAACCCAGCACCUGCAUCCAUCCACCAAGAUGAUGCAUCCACCGUAGAUCUUGAUGAUCGAAUGACUUAAAAUGGUUCUCUGUUCUUAUUUUAUUAGUGGUUCUUAUUUGAACCUCUCCCUAUAUAUAUAUAUAUAUAUAUAUAUAUAUAUAUAUAUAUAUAUAUAUAUAUUUACACAUUAAAUAUAAAUAAUUUUUGAUACAUUUAAAAAUAAAAUAAAUUUUGUGACAUCUAUCUAUAUAACUAAAUUUGCUCAAUCUACAUACACAUAUUAUUAUGUUACUUCAAUUAUUAAUAAACAUAUUUUGUUCAAAAAAAUUAAAUAUAAAUAUAUUGUCAUAAAAAUAAUUACAUUUUCACAUGUCACAAAAAUAAUUAUGCAUUUAUACGUCAAAACGUUAGCUACAUCCUCAAAUGUCAUUAAACUUUAUGACGCGCUUUCAUUUUUGUGGCACAUAUAAUAAUUAUCUAUCUCAAGAUGUCAUAAAUACUUAGUGACAUUUAUAAAGUGCUUCAAAAAUUAUAUCACUGUGAGAAUAUUUUAUUGUAAUGAUUGCAUUGAAUUAGAUAAUAUGAAAAGUCAUUAGUUCUUUUUUAUUUUUAUUUUUUAUGUAUGGGUAAAUGUACCAACUUAUAUGAAAGACGGGCAUUUUGCAACGAGGAUGCAUCAGGCAAAUAUAAAAUUGAUUGUGAAAAUCCAAAUAUAUUAAGGGUCCACGCACACUUAUUGAGUUCGUCGCAUAUUAAACUAUUGGCCUCGCAUAUUAAAUAAUCAACUAUAGCGUCGCCGUCGCAUAUUAUCAACUAUAGCGUCGACGUCGCAUAUUAAUAUCAGCUACAUAGGCUUAUAGCCAGGCAAAUCAUCUUUCCUUGUAAAAUAAACGUUCUUAAUAUUAAUUGGAAGGUUAUUCUAUCUUCUUUUUUCUUUUUCUUUUCAAUCGUCAAUAAGAACCAAGCAAGUGUAGGGCUGGGGAAAUAUACCGAAAACUCGAUAUAUCGGUCAAUACCAUAUCGAAAAAUACCGUAAAAUAUCGAAAUUAAGAUAUGCCGAAUUUUUCGGUAAGGUAUGAUACCGUACCGAAGAUUUAUUGUAAGCUAAAGGUACAGAUUUUUCAGAUACGGGGUAUACCGGCAUAUACCGAUACUGAGGUAUAUACCGAAAAAAUCAAUAAAUACCGGAAUAAGAUAUGAUACCUUAUUAACGGCAUAUCGGUAUAUACCAGUAUUAAGGUAUAAUACCUUGUUCUGAUAUACAGCAGUUGUCGGUAUAUACCGGUAUAUCGAAAAUCGCAGUAUAUACUGUAUCAAAAUCUAUAGUUUUAAAAUAUAUAAUACAUAUUUUUAUGUUUAUAUUUUUUAAAAUAUUGAUAAAAUUUAUAAAAUGAUGUAUAUAAUCUAUAUUAUAUUAAUAUAUACAAGUACAUGAAUUUAUAAAUAUCAUCAAAUGAUACAAAAAUAAACAAAAUAUAGUUCAUAUAGUUAUGAUAUAAUAUUCACCUUAUAAAUAUCAUCAAAUGAUAAAAAAUAUAUAUAUAUAUAAUACAUGAAUUUAUAAAAUAGUUAUGAUAUAAUAUUCACCUUAUGUGAGUUAUAUAGUUAUAUUUUAUAGUAUAAAGCUAAGAUUAUUGUUCUACAAUAAAUUACAUCUAACUUAUAACAUCUAUAUUUACAUGACUAUAUAUACAAGUAUGAGAAUAUAAAUAUCAUCGAUACAAAAAUGAACAUAGUAUAAUAUAUAGGUUAUACAAUUUAAUGUAAUUGAAUUAUAGUAUUGUUUAUAUUGAUAUUAUAGGCUUAUAGCAUAGUUAUAAUAUAAUAUUCACAUAUUUAAGUUAUAGCAUUGUUAAUGUUGUUAUAUUGUAGACUUGUGAAAUUGUUGAGACGGGAACAAAUUUUGUACUUUAUUUAUUUUAUUGUGUUUGAGUUUUAUUGUUGACAUUAUAUUUGUUUGAUGUUGUUUAUCAGGUAAGCAAGUUUAAAAUAAAAUUAUCGAUAUUAUCGUACCGAAAUUUAUCAAAUUCAAUAUACCGUGUAAGUGUGGUAUACUGAAACAUGAUACGGUAUACCGAAACCGCAGUAUACCGAAAUACGGUAUGGUAUGCCGAAACAAAGGUGCGGUAAAUGUAUGAGAUUUUUUCAUACCGUAAUUUAAGGUAUACCGGACUAAGGUAUACCAUAGGUAAAGGUAAGGUAAACGUAUGAAAUUUCUUUAUACCGGAGAUAAAGGUAAGGUAUAAGGUAUGAAUAAUUUAUUAAGGUAUACCGUACCGUCCCACCCCUAUGUAUUACUGGAAAGAUGUUGAAUUUUUUAUAAAUAUUGUGUGUGAAUGAAGUUGAAAAUAUAAAAAGGUGUGUACCAAUUAAAAUGAUGAAAGACCGUAUUUUUUAUGAAUAGAGGAAGAAAUGUACUUUUUGUUGUUUAGUUAAUAUGCACACAUGUAUGAAAAAUCGAAAUGACGCACACUAUUUAUAAGCACUUAUAUUCUUUUGAGUACCGUUGACAUGUAGUUCAUAAUUUUUUUUCCUUUUCAUUUCUCUUUCUCUUAUACCUCAAAGUUUUGAUUGUUAUCAUCGAAUUUACAAAUUGCAUAAACAUUAUUUAAAGCCCAAUUCAUUUUCCCCCCCUUUACUUUUCAAGAGGAAUAAAAAUUAAUAAAUCAAAUUUUGAGUUUGUAAUUUGUGAAUUCGAUGAUCUCGAUCACAAUUUUUAAGGUAUAAGAGAAAAAUAAAAUAAAUAAGUGUACAAAUAAAAUAAUAAUGUGGACUACAUAUCAACAAUAAUCACAUUAUGUCUGCCGAUAUCAUAAUCAGCAGAUACCAUUUAGUCGCCAGCCGUUGAAAUUAUCAGCUGACGAUACAAGUCAAUUUGAUAGAGGUGUUUUAUUAGCGCAUGUUUCUCCUUGCUUCAGUAUUCCUUGUAGUUUGACUGAAGGUUGAUUAGAUUUACUAGCGAGGAGUCACCUAAGUCCUUCUGGCCCGACUCAAGUCGUCCUUCAUCUCCAUGGUUUGACAUCAUUAUCAUUGUGUUGUCAAUGGAGUGAAUUUUCUCAGCAAUCAUGUCAUUUUUUGACCUGGUUAUUGGUAAACGAAUGUCCUCCUUAGUCGUGCUGACUUAUGUUGAAUGUGUUAAUUGGUUUUUCAGCAGUUUAGCUUGAUUCGACUUUGGAAUUGAUGGCACUCUCCCUUGAUUUGAGGCAUGAAUAUUUUAGAAUUCAUUUGGGGGCUUUCAUCUUAUCAGUACGAUCGAUCCUGUGCAGUUGAAUUUUCAAAUUUGGCUUCUUUGCUUGUUGAGAUCCAUACAGGACUUCCUUGAGCAUCAGUCUCUUGUUUGUAUUCUUUACAACUUCUCUUUCGUCUUGUCGUGUGAAUUGUUGUUACAUGACAGAGAUCGGUUGAUGCUUGUUGUUGAAGAUACCGAUAGUUGAUGAUGCUAGUUGAUGUUGCUUUUGCUUAUUACUUUAUGCGAUGUCGGAUGGAUUAACCAGAGUGAAUACUUGAAUUAGAGUUCCUCAUUGAUUGCUGAAACCAAUUAUUGGUGUAGUACCAAUUGUUAUUGCAUGUCGAACACACCUUUGCAUGAUUAGUCAGCGAGGAAAUGGGAACAACAACAUGAUAAAAGUUUUUUGCUCUUCUUCUUAGUGAGAAGUUAAACAUUUCAAAGUCAUGGGCACAUGAAACUAAGGUUUUAAAUCGCAGAGAUUAACAUUGUCUUCCAUGUUGUAUUCCAGUUCCCCCCCUUUCCCCCUUUCUUUAUGUUUUAGCAACUUAUCCUAAGGUCUCUUUACCAAGAGCUCGCAUGCGACAACAGAGGCAAAAUGCACUAAUGCUCGAUUACUUGACACAUGUAUGUCGAGCGACCUGGAGCAUAAGGCUUAGCCAGCCUCAGCUGGCACAUAGCCAAAGUUGGUUGGGCGUUGGAGUGAAGAUCAACUACGAUUGACCCUCAGCAGAGGCUGAUCAGGAUAGUUCAUCUAAGCGCAAAAUGGUAGAAAUAAGAAAUUAUAUCGAAUAAAGUUCAUUCAUUACAAAUUAAAAGUACUAAAUAAAAAAUUCAUUACAAAUAACUUGCCAGUCUUUCAUUGUUUCGGCCUCAACGCUAAAUUUAUAAAUAGUAGUUGCUACAUUGCAUCUUUUUUUCUCAAAUGACGACAUACAUUGCUUCAUGAGUAUCAUCUCUAGUUACUUCAAUGCAUAUGCUGCACAAUUUUUUAUGUCUAUUUUUUCAUAUACGCGUUACAAUUGUCGGAGUAUGCAGACCGUCAUUUAGUGAACUUUGGUAAAAUUCGGAAUACUUUAGGAUCUGUGCAAGCAUGGAUGCCAACAAAAUGAAAAAUAUUUUCCUAACUGCACAAUCAACAUCUUCCAAUUGAUUUGAGUGGAAUUAUAUAUCGUAAUAGAACUAAUCAUGUAAUUCACACUACAAGUCACCCAAGAUCAUAGUAGACUGCAAACCAUAAUCAACUUUUGGUGGACGUCGUAUCCCACCAAAUAAUUCCUGCAAUAGCUAAUAAUUAAUAUAGUUAGUAGUAAGCAUGGUCGAACCACAGGGAACGGGUAAUUGCAAUCAAUUUCCUAAAGAUCUAAAAAUUGGUGUAGCCACCACGCCUUAAAGUGAUAGAAAAAUUAAUUUACUAAGAAAAUAAAUAAAUCAACGAAAAUCACACUAGAAAUAAAUCAAAGAAAAUGUAACUCGGCUCGAAUAAAUCCAUAUUAAUUUAAUGACUCUAAUCAUCGACGCAAUGAUUAAUUAAUCCAUAUCAACCAACCAGUUAUAGGAUACCGUGAAACGCAACGGGCGUACCCCAAUUCCUACUUACUGUAUCGAUAAACAGCUGGAGACGCCAGACCUGCUUAUUUCCCUUAUUAAAAUAUAACCUAGCUGGAGACGCCAGACCUAGAUUUAAU